CUCAAGCUUGAAAUCGGCAGUUGGUUAACAUAUGCCGAGUUGUAGCUUUUGGAAGCAGUUUCAAGCAACUGGGUUGCGGUAAAAGUUCUUUUGAAUAAGACAUCAAAGAGGGUGAGAAUCCCGUCCUUGACCGUGAUUUAAGUGGCGAUGCGAACUGUUUUCUGCGAGUCGGGUUGUUUGGGAAUGCAGCCCUAAUUGGGAGGUAAAUUUCUUCCAAAGCUAAAUAUCAGUAAGAGACCGAUAGCAAACAAGUACCGUGAGGGAAAGAUGAAAAGCACUUUGAAAAGAGAGUGAAAAGUGCGUGAAAUUGUUGAAAGGGAACCGGUUGGUAGCCAAGCAUUUCUUGGCGUUAGGGCAUUUAUGUCAGAGCGUCGGGAGGGUCAACAUCGAUUGCUGUUAAUCUGCCAGAAAGGAAAUUAUGCAGGCUAGCGGAGGAAGGUAGGGAGGUGGGUUUCCGGUUCAAUUUAUUGGGACGGUAUUAUGGCCUGCCUUCUGUUAUAGCCUCCAUGGGUUUGCUUUUUUACGCCUAGUGGUGGUGGCGAGCGAGGACUGCAGCGCGUUUUGGAGGGAGACCUCUGAUGGCCUGAUUGUCUGGGAUCAUUGUAGUUGCGUUGCGGCAGACAGCAUGCUGACUGUUGCGGGUAGGCUAUAUGUUUCUGGGGAAUUCGGGACUAAGAAGCGCUUUGGAUGUUGGCGAAAAGGCACUAAUCGACCCGUCUUGAAACACGGACCAAGGAGUCCAACAUGCAUGCGAGUAUCUGGGAAAAAUAAACCCAUAUGCGCAAUGAAAGUGAACUAGUAGAAACUUUUAUUAGAAUGUAACCGGGAGCAAUCCCGGGCAGCAUCGACCGACUUUCGAUAGCGCCGCUUGAAGAGGUUGAGUAAGAGCAUGUAUGCUGGGACCCGAAAGAUGGUGAACUAUGCCUGAAUAGGGUGAAGUCAGAGGAAACUCUGAUGGAAGCUCGUAGAGAUUCUGACGUGCAAAUCGAUCUCCAAAUUUGGGUAUAGGGGCGAAAGACUAAUCGAACCAUCUAGUAGCUGGUUCCUGCCGAAGUUUCCCUCAGGAUAGCAGAGACUGGAAGUUUAAAGCAGUUUUAUGAGGUAAAGCGAAUGAUUAGAGGCCUUGGGGAUGUAACAUCCUUAACCUAUUCUCAAACUUUAAAUGCGUAAGAAGCCCCAGUUGCUUAAUUGAACUGUGUGGCGUUUUUUGAAUGCAUCAGUCUCUAGUGGGCCAUUUUUGGUAAGCAGAACUGGCGAUGCGGGAUGAACCGAACGUAGAGUUAAGGUGCCCAAAUGCACGCUCAUUUAGACACCAUAAAAGGUGUUAGUUCAUCUAGACAGCAGGACGGUGGCCAUGGAAGUCGGAAUCCGCUAAGGAGUGUGUAACAACUCACCUGCCGAAUGAACUAGCCCUGAAAAUGGAUGGCGCUCAAGCGUGCUACCGAUACUCUACCGUCAAAGUUAGGUUGAUAUAAAAAGGCUUUGACGAGUAGGCAGGCGUGGGGGUUUGUAGAGAAGCUAUGGGCGUAAGCUCUAGUGGAACAGCCUCUAGU
rnacentral:rRNA from 1 species